rfam:Gossypium hirsutum cultivar TM-1 unplaced genomic scaffold scaffold3550.1, whole genome shotgun sequence
AAUGAGAGAAUGGUAAAUCAGAUUUUUCCUCUUGAUUUUCAGCCUUUUCCUCCUGAAAAAAUUCAAAUCAAACUAAAAACAUUAAAAAUCAAGAAAAAAAAUCUGAUUUGUCAUUCUCCCAUU